UCCAGACUCGAAGAAAAUUUUAACUGAGAAAUCAAGGAGAGGAGACCGGAGGAGUACCUUCGUCGACAGGAGAGGAGUCCGUUCGUCGCUUGGAGUUAAGCGAUUUGGAGAUGGGAUUUGGGUCCCGCGUAGCGUACCAAGAAGA